rnacentral:rRNA from 1 species
AUACGUAGGGGGCGAGCGUUGUCCGGAAUGAUUGGGCGUAAAGGGCGCGUAGGCGGCCCGGUAAGUCUGGAGUGAAAGUCCUGUUUUUAAGAUGGGAAUUGCUUUGGAUACUGUCGGGCUUGAGUGCAGGAGAGGUAAGUGGAAUUCCCAGUGUAGCGGUGAAAUGCGUAGAGAUUGGGAGGAACACCAGUGGCGAAGGCGGCUUUCUGGACUAUAACUGGCACUGCGGCACGAUAUUGUAGGGAGCAGACAGGAUGAUAUCCCCUGGUAGUCCGCAUUGUGAACUAUGAUUGCUAGGUGUAGGGGGUAUCGACCCCUUCUGUGCCGCAGUCAACACAAGAAGCAUUCCGCCUGGGGAGUACGGCCGCAAGGUGGAUGCUGAAAGGAAUUGACGGGG